CCUGGGGAGAGGAAAUAGGCAAUUUCACUAAGGAAAAAAUUUUUCUGUAUAUCAAUUGACCCUUCUCCUUUUCUGAUCUUUUUGUUGAAAGGCACAAUGGGAGACAACUGAUGAUAGUACGUUAUCAUGGAGUCAUGGGAGACUAUAAGAAGGAAAUGCAGUAAGUUGGAGAAAAAAGAAAAGAAACAUGAAUGUCUUCAUUAGCUCAGCCUGCUGUAAUAAAAUACCAUAGACUAAAUACAACAGAAAUUGCUUGAACAACAGAAAUUUCUUUUUCCUAGUUCUGAAGGCUGAGAAGUCUAAGAUCAAGGUGCUGGCCUAUUCAUACAAGAGUCUUUCUGUCUGGAGGACAGCUGCCUUCUUGCUGCAUCCUUACAUGCAGAGAGGAAGAAAAGGAGAGAGGAGAAGAGAGAGCACUAGCUCUCGAUUGUUUCCCUUCUUUUAAGAAUACUAAUCCCAUCAUAAGGGGCACAGCUUUAUUACCUCAUCAAACCGACUCCAGCAACCAAGGAUAAUGAGAUUACCAAGCUCUUCUGGGAAGACAAUGUGUUCCAACGAUGGCCCAUUCCACAUGCGUUCUUUAUAUGAGUGACACUCCUGUCUAUCCACAAAAAUGUCGUCCCUAAGCAACCAGCAACCAUGCUGUGAAGAAGCAUAAAGCAGCCUAGACAGACAGAUGACAUGCAUAGGCUCACAUGGGGUGGAAUUGAGGUCCUCAGCCAGCAGCCAGCCUCAACCACCAGCCCAGUGAGUGAACGAAGCGUCAAAUGAUUCUACCGCUCAGCCUUUCAUCCACUUCAGCUGUUGCAAUGUAGAGCUAAGACAGGUUAUCCCCACUAAAUCCUGCCCAAAUUACAGAUUAAUGAGCAAAACCAAUUUGUCUUGUUGGAAGUUACUAAGCAUCAGAACAAUUUUUUUAUACUAAAGGUAACUGUUACUGAGAAACAGGUCUCAGGUGCCUGACAUUACUCACACAAAAUGAUACAAAUUUAUUUUGAGAUCAUCAAAAAGUGACUCUAAUUUUGCUUCAUUGUUAACUUGGAAUUAUCUAUGACCUCUUUAACUCCAUGCCUUCUGCCCCAGCAAAUUGCAAAUAAAUGAAUGGUAUUAUGUGAAUUGAAUAUUAAGGUUAACUGAGAAGUCCCAUGUAAGAGCAAAAGUUCUAGACCCAGCCUGUGUCCCAGAUCAACAGACAGAGCUCUAGCAGGAAAGAAAAUAUA